rnacentral:rRNA from 1 species
AUUGAACGCUGGCGGCAGGCUUAACACAUGCAAGUCGAACGAGCGGCGGACGGGUGAGUAAUGUCUGGGAAACUGCCUGAUGGAGGGGGAUAACUACUGGAAAAGGUAGCUAAUACCGCAUACCAUCGGAUGUACCCAUAUGGGAUUAGCUAGUAGGGGGGGUAACGGCUCACCUAGGCUACGAUCCCUAGCUGGUGUGAGAGGAUGACCAGCCACACGGGAACUGUGACACGUUCCAGACUCCUACGGGAGGCAGAAGUGGGUAAUAUUGCACAAUGGGCGCAAGCCUGAUGCAGCCAUGCCGCGUGUGUGAAGAAGGCCUUCGGGUUGUAAAGUACUUUCAGCGAGGAGGCGUUACUCGCAGAAGAAGCACCGGCUAACUCCGUGCCAGCAGCCGCGGUAAUUC